rnacentral:rRNA from 1 species
UACGGAAGGCAGCAGUGGGGAAUAUUGCACAAUGGGCGAAAGCCUGAUGCAGCUAUGCCGCGUGUAUGAAGAAGGCCUUAGGGUUGUAAAGUACUUUCAUCGGGGAGGAAAAAGCAAAACUAAUAAUUUUAUUUCUUGACGUUACCCGAAAAAGAAGCACCGGCUAACUCCGUGCCAGCAGCCGCGGUAAUACGGAGGGUGCUAGCGUUAAUCAGAAUUACUGGGCGUAAAGAGCACGUAGGUGGUUUUUUUAAGUCAGAUGUGAAAUCCCUGGGCUUAACCUAGGAACUGCAUUUUGAAACUGAAAUACUAGAGUAUCGUAGAGGGAGGUAGAAUUCUAGGUGUAGCGGUGAAAUGCGUAGAUAUCUGGAGGAAUACCUGUGGCGAAAGCGGGCCUCCUAAACGAAUACUGACACUGAGGUGCGAAAGCGUGGGGAGCAAACAGGGAUUAGAUACC